GUGGGGAAUAUUCCGCAAUGGGGGAAACCCUGACGGAGCAAUGCCGCGUGCAGGAUGAAGGCCCUCGGGUCGUAAACUGCUUUUAUAUGAGAAGAAUAUGACGGUAACAUAUGAAUAAGGGACGGCUAACUACGUGCCAGCAGCCGCGGUCAUACGUAGGUCCCAAGCGUUAUCCGGAGUGACUGGGCGUAAAGAGUUGCGUAGGCGGCUCGUUAAGCGUGAAAUGAAAUUUAUCGGCUCAACCGGUAAACUAUUUCGCGAACUGACGGGCUCGAGAGUAUGAGAGGUUACUGGAAUUUCUAGUGUAGCAGUGAAAUGCGUAGAUAUUAGAAAGAACACCAACGGCGUAGGCAGGUAACUGGCAUACAUCUGACGCUGAGGCACGAAAGCGUGGGGAGCGAACCGGAUUAGAUACCCCAGUAGUCC
rnacentral:rRNA from 1 species